UACAGGGGGUGCAAGCGUUACUCGGAAUCACUGGGCGUAAAGAGCGUGUAGGCGGUUUAGCAAGUCUGGUGUGAAAGCCCUGGGCUCAAUCCAGGAAGUGCAUUGGAUACUGCUAGACUAGAGUAUAGGAGAGGUGAGCGGAAUUCCCGGUGUAGAGGUGAAAUUCGUAGAUAUCGGGAGGAACAACAGAGGCGAAGGCGGCUCACUGGACUAUUACUGACGCUAAGGCGCGAAAGCGUGGGGAGCAAACAGG
rnacentral:rRNA from 1 species